AGUGCCGUGGCAGAAUUGAUUGUUGCGUGAGACUAGGAUCGCCCCAUUCUAAAUCUCAUUCCUCCGGGAGCGCAGGUUCGAAUCCUGUCGGCAUCG